rnacentral:lncRNA from 1 species
AUCAAGUACUUACAUGGGGAAGCUGUCCAGAUGGAGGGGAGCAGGUGCAAAGGGCCCGAGACAGAAGCCGCUGGGGCCUUUGGGGCAGGCAGGAAGGCCAGGUGGCCAGAGCCAAGGGCAGUGAGGAAGUCAGGCGCCACUGGGCAGCAGCGCGCUCCCUGUGCUAGGUGGCGGAGAGGGCCUGCGGCCGGGCGGUGCCCUGGAGCUGACAGGCUUGCUGCUGGGCUGCAUGUGGCUGCCAGAGGAAACCGGAAAGAGCUGCCGGGACUGGGCCCGGUCCCAGUUAGAUGGUGAGAUGGAGGUCGGGAGCCUGAUGAAGCGCCAGGCCGCGCACGCGCACGCGGUGGGGCGCUUGUGGCCAGGAGAGGGUGUGACGUUAUGAGAGGCGGCAGGAACAAAGAACAAGAACCGCUGGCUGGCUCGUGUAAAUACCGGCAACUUCCGAGGCUCUUGUGCUCGGUCUACUGCGACAUCGACAUCGCGGGCCAGGGAGGAAGGGGGCCUGGCAGCCUCGCGGGGUCGGGCCCUGGGCUUCUCCCAGCACAGCGCCGGAACCCUGGCUCCUGCGGUCACGCGACGCCAAGAAUAUCAGGGAGGACAGGGACCAUGAGUCAGGAAAACCAAGCCAGAAACAUGAAAGGAAGUGUGUGGCCCAGCACGGGACUCAGAAUGACCCAGAAAACCCGCCAAGCUCUGAGCCCCAUGACGGACGCUCCCUCCCUGCCUCCCUCACCCGCGACCUGUCGCCCAGGUAUCCUAGGCAGAGCCGGCACCCAGCCCGGCGCUCAGGGGCUCAGGGCCAGGGCCAGGGCCAGGGCCAGGGCCGCAGCCUCCCUCCGUCUUCCUCCAGGGCCUCGGAGGCCCGGCUCACCCUCCAGCCCCGCCCUGCCCAGCCCAGCUCUCCAGGAGGAGAAUUAGACCUGGCCUGCCUCGGGCUCCGCGCCUCCCACCCGGGCCCUCCCUGCAGAGAGCGUGGCAUCUGCGUGGCAGCCUUUUAUCCGCCACCUCUGAGCUCCGCUUACUGGGGAUCAAACUCAGGACCUUGCACUUGGGAGGCAGGCCUACCAUGCUGAAACCGAGAGGAGAAUGGACACUGGGCCCGGCAGCCCGCACCGGAGAGAAGCGACUCGGCCAGAGGCAGGCGCGGAAGGACUGGACAUGCGCGCGCGUGGAGGCGUCGUGGACCCUCUCUCCACCGUCCUGGUCCACACAGGGGCUACCUGUUCGGCCUGACCCGGAGGGCCCCCUGCGACCGGGCACUCGGAGCCGGCGACGCGCAGCACCCAGAGCUAGACCUCAGUGGGAGAAGCGCCCAGCUCCACCGCGGCCCAGCAUGAGCCACGCCCAGCGCGCAGGCCCCGCCCCGGCCCUCGAUCCCCGCCCCGAGCCCC